GCCUUCAUAGAGUCAGACGUGAAUGAAUCAAAGAAGAAGAGUCUGAACGACUUCGUGGUGACAAGAGGAUGCAUCCAUCACUGAAGCAUCUCAGGCUCCACCUUAUGCAAAUCCCCCUCAGGCCUCCUGUGGCUGAGCUGCUCUGGUUGGUUUUGGAACGUCGACUGGUCGGAGAUUUCUCGGACUGAUGAACCGGAAAACACCAAGAAGCAGCCACAGCUUCGGCUACAAAACUAAGAUGGAAGGCAGAUCGAUUGUUCCAUCUCCAUCGUUCCUCCUUCCUGGCAGCAAAGCAGCGGAGAUCCCGACUCAAAUAAGUUUAAGACGACCACGCAGUCAGAGCAGUAAUCACCUCCAGCCUAAUGAACGGUGAAGGUUGCUCCGGAGGUUGGGGACGGUGGUUAUCACAGAGCUCAGCGAAGGGCGACGGAGGAGUUUCAUCCUGGAGGAAGUGGCCGACAACACUAUGUUUUAUGGGGACUGAGGGAGUCGGUAUGAGUCGCAGAGAUUUGUCUUUCAUAAAGCUAUCGAGUGACUUUCAGAGGAAACUCUGAGAGAUGGAACAGGGGAAAGACUUUCACUAUUAUACUAAGCGUUCACCAUGAAUGAAUAAUUAUUUGUGAAAAGUAAUGCCGACAGUGAAGAUGGGUUUGAGCUACGUAAUAGGUGGCGACAGAGACUAAUGUCAGGUGGGUAAUUUCUCGGGUGCCAACACAUCUGAAACUGAACAGGAUCCCGAUCCGACCAGCUAAUGAGGACUGGUUUCGCAAGAGUCCGUGGAGAGAGACCGCGGAGACGGAUAGAGCCGGGGAAAGGGAGGAAACUUGGACCAGAGCAAGAGGUGACUUGAGAACCUGGAGGAAGCAAAUGUGCUGGAGCAAAUCACAGCCGGGGUGCUGGAUGGAAAACACCAAUGUUGAAACAAAAACUCCUCUGAUGUUCAACCGACUCUAAAAAGCAGCGCAUCACAAGCUUCUUCAAAGACAUUUAGUGACGUCCAAAGCUAAUUUCGGUGGAACCCGCCCUUUGGUCUCCUCCCAUCUGGAUCUUUGCUGAGCGCCCAACGCCAGAUUCCUCCUAUUCAACUUCUGCCAAAAGAAAAAAUCUAAAAUGGCAAAUUAUUGUUGAUUUAUUUAGCUCAGAUCAUGGAGACCUAAACGCUAAUGUGUGCAAAAAAUGUUUUACCAAUAAAGUCGGACUGAAAUUCCACCUUUUGAAAAGUGCAUGAAGAAAUCACGUCGAGCGAAAAUCCCAAAUAACAUCCAUGAAA